UACGAAGGGGGCUAGCGUUGCUCGGAAUCACUGGGCGUAAAGCGCACGUAGGCGGAUUGUUAAGUCAGGGGUGAAAUCCUGGAGCUCAACUCCAGAACUGCCUUUGAUACUGGCGAUCUCGAGUCCGGGAGAGGUGAGUGGAACUGCGAGUGUAGAGGUGAAAUUCGUAGAUAUUCGCAAAGAACACCAGUGGCGAAGGCGGCUCACUGGCCCGGUACUGACGCUGAGACGCGAAAGCGUGGGGAGCAAGCA
rnacentral:rRNA from 1 species